rnacentral:lncRNA from 1 species
UUUUUUCGACCUUGCUCUUACAAGCUGCAGCUCUGCCAAAUUCAAGAAAUCACAUAGAACAUUUAAUUGAUUAAUUCAAAGUAGAGCUUUGAGAAACUAGAAUCCCAUUGCGAACUAGCAACAACGAGUUCCGACAUAAUCUAGCAAGUUCACCCGAUGACAUGUGAUAUUGAAUAAUCUCAAAGCAAAACGUUGUUCUUCAACCGUGUCUGAAGAAAACAAACUAAAGCUUGAAUGUUCAAUCCAGUUCAAAGAUCAAGCUGCUUUGCAUGAUUUAAGAAUUGUAAUUCUUAAUCCAAAUGGUGAUUGAGGCCGAGUACAACAAUAAAAUGGUGAUAAAAUCAAAAUCAGAGGGUUUGACUUCACUUUUACAACAAGUCAAAAGAAGAAGAACAUGGGAAAGUUGUUCUUAGAUUUCUUUUUAUUGUAUUUUUGUUAAUUUUGUGAAAUUACAUAAUUGAGACUAUUGUAUUUUUUAUCGUUUGAUAUAGUGGAUUGAUUUACCUAUGGCAUGGGGCUUGUGGAUGUUUUCCUUCGAGGUUUCUAUAUUAU